rnacentral:rRNA from 1 species
AGUGAACGCUGGCGGUAGGCUUAACACAUGCAAGUCGAACGGCAGCACAGUAAGAGCUUGCUCUUACGGGUGGCGAGUGGCGGACGGGAGAGGAAUACAUCCGAAUCUACUUUUUCGUGGGGGAUAACGUAGGGAAACUUACGCUAAUACCGCAUACGACCUACGGGUGAAAGCAGGGGAUCUUCGGACCUUGCGCGAUUGAAUGAGCCGAUGUCGGAUUAGCUAGUUGGCGGGGUAAAGGCCCACCAAGGCGACGAUCCGUAGCUGGUCUGAGAGGAUGAUCAGCCACACUGGAACUGAGACACGGUCCAGACUCCUACGGGAGGCAGCAGUGGGGAAUAUUGGACAAUGGGCGCAAGCCUGAUCCAGCCAUACCGCGUGGGUGAAGAAGGCCUUCGGGUUGUAAAGCCCUUUUGUUGGGAAAGAAAAGCAGCAGGUUAAUACCCCGCGGUUCUGACGGUACCCAAAGAAUAAGCACCGGCUAACUUCGUG